CCUACGGGUGGCUGCAGUGAGGAAUAUUGGUCAAUGGACGAGAGUCUGAACCAGCCAAGUAGCGUGUAGGAUGACUGCCCUAUGGGUUGUAAACUUCUUUUAUAUGGGAAUAAAAUGUUCCACGUGUGGGAUUUUGUAUGUACCAUAUGAAUAAGGAUCGGCUAACUCCGUGCCAGCAGCCGCGGUAAUACGGAGGAUCCGAUCGUUAUCCGGAUUUGUUGGGUUUAAAGGGAGCGUAGGUGGAUUGUUAAGUCAGUUGUGAAAGUUUGCGGCUCAACCGUAAAAUUGCAGUUGAUACUGGCAGUCUUGAGUACAGUAGAGGUGGGCGGAAUUCGUGGUGUAGCGGUGAAAUGCUUAGAGAUCACGAAGAACUCCGAUUGCGAAGGCAGUUCACUGGACUGCAACUGACACUGAGGCUCGAAAGUGUGGGUAUCAAACAGGAAUAGAUACCCCAGUAGUC
rnacentral:rRNA from 1 species